GCUUGACCCGUUAACUGGUGACGACAACCCGACAUUUCUCCUACCUUCGGCCACCUUCACCGGUAGCUUUGUCUUUGUCUCCACGUUGCGACCAAGUCUGUUGCUUUUGUUUCAUCAGUCGAGCUUCAAGGAGGGAAAAUCGAAGCUUAAAAACUUCGAACUUCCGGCGGUUUCUGCGUUUUCCGGCGACUGAGUCAGCAUUGAUGACAACUGAGAAUUGUGCUGCAGGGAACAGAAAGAGAAAAAAGAAAAAACGGAUCGCACACGAUCUGCAGACGAGAGAGAACUGCCAUGGCACACGAUCUCAAGAGUCAAGACAAACGAAGAUUCAAGCGAUGUGAUGAUAGUUGAUUGGAGUACAUAUGGCUACAUCAGUACUCAAUUUACGGUUCAUACAAAAGACGAAAACAAACACAGAAAGAGGACCAGAGCAAAAUCAAACAAGAGGAGAAAAUUAUUUCCAAGUUGGCUGACAAUUUUGCGGAUUCACUUCAGGUACACAGCGAUACUGGCAGUGAUGCAAGAGGUCGCUCACUUCUUCAGAACAGAGCCAAGAGUGAGUGGAAUCAUGUUCAGUUUGAAUGAAAUUUGAUCAGAGGAGUGAUCAGCCAUUGACUCUCCCUUUUGUGUUGCAUAUUCCUGAUCAUUGGUUCCAGAUCACUUUUUCUUUCGGUUUGCUCAGGUACUCCGUACUUCAUCUCAAGUGGCUUUGUUUGGGUAUGUGCACUUGUUCUUCUUCUACUUAAAAGGGAUAGUGGGCCGAGAAGUGACCGUGGAGCUCAAGAACGACCUUGCGAUUAGGGAAAUACGCCCCGACGUCUCACAGACAAAAUGGAGCGGGCACGUGCCCGAGAUCGAGAAUGGCGACAGCCAAUGAGUUCUUCACAAUGACAAACAUAUUUGUCACGACGACGUGCAAUAGCUCAAGGAAAGCGUCCAAUGGUGGAAACUAGCUCAAGCAACGUAACAAAACAAGCUGCAGGAAAGGUACGAAAUAGGUGCCCUCAACAAAAGAAAAAAUUCCUAAGAGACGAGGGCUUUAGGAGACGUGUUUCCGUGUUUUCAUCUGGUUGGCGGAUGGGACAAUCAGUAAAAAUGAACACCGCUUAUCUUGGUGAGCUAAUUUUGAAAGAGUGGAAGAAAAAGAAGCAUGCACGUUGGCGAUACAAAAACGCACGUAGAGAUUUGAUAACACACGAUAUUUAUCAAAUUAAAAGAACUUGGAGAAAAGUUUUGCGCAUUAGGAGGUGAAAGCAUCGUGAACGGAACAACUUUUUAGCUAAGUUCUACAUCAAGCGUUUUGAGGAGUUCAAGCAUAAUAUAAAGAACUCUUCCAAUAAUUGGAGCAUGGGUGUUGCGAUAAGGAAAUUAUCUAAUUUCAUGGUACGUACUUAACUUAAUAGAUACCUUCAAUUGAAUCAUCGACACUAUAUUAUGUUUUGUUCUUUUUCCUACUCUAAAUUUGUAGUUUGAGCAAUGACGAUUGACAAAUGGAUGGCUGAGGGAGUUUAUUGGAGCAUGUGGACUUUAUUGAACAAAUAUGUAUAUAGCCAUGUAUAUAUAGAAGUUUCUUUUUAAAUAAGGAGGUUUUUAUUUUGUGGUAGUUAACCAAUUCCAAUAAUAAGUGCGAUGCCCUGGCCUCCCAUUACCUUUUGGCUAUUAAAAUUGUAAAUAUUUGUAUAUAUCAAUGCAUAUUUUUGUAUACGGUUCUAUGUUUUUUACUAAUGAAUUGCUA